UCAGUCUCUCCAAGUAUGCCUGGGCUUGUCAGCCUUUCACAAAUGGAGUUCUGUGAUUCCCUCACUGAGAGAAGGACAUCAAGGAAGUCUGGUUGCAAGAACAAGCUGCCUAUGCAAGACACAAAACAAUAACAGUGACCUUGAGAAGCUGAGGACUUGUAUUCUCCAAGUGCAUGAUGUACUGCUAGAGGGAAGUGUCUCACAUGACCUGAAGUGAGGUUAUAACAAAUGCUGCCACUGAAGACCAGCAUGGAGAGGAGAUCUGCAUGUGCACUUCUGCUGCACAGAAUCAGAAAUGCUGAACGAUGAUUUGUAGAAGAUUCCUUUUACAAUCUGUCACCAAGACCUUUUGAAGAAUGAGCACAUGGAGCUCAUGCUUUCUAUUACCAGCACAUUAUAAGUUGCUAUUAUCAGUUGUCAAUAUCAGUAAAUAUCAGCAUGGCGCAUUACUACAUAGAGCACUUAGGAAACAUCUUGCUGGCCACUGUUCAGAGGAUGGUGAGGCCCUGGCACAGCUGCCCAGAGAAGUUGUUGUGCCUCAUCUCUGGAGGCGCUUGAGGCCAGGUUGAAUGGGGCUCUGGGCAGCUGAGCUGGUGGGGGGCAGCCCUGCCCACAGCAGGGAGCUGUAACAGUAUGAUCUUUGAGGUCAUUGCCAACCCAAUCUGUUCUGUGAUUCUGUGAUUCUCCUAGAGCAUCCUUGUACAGAGUAUGGAUUGUUCAUUUUUGUCAAGUACAGCUGAACAGUUUCAUUUCUGCUUCAGUUGCCAAUUAAGACCCACCCCCCAUAAAUAAAUAAAUAAAUAAAUAAAUAAAUUAAAGAUCAUAGAUUGGUAGAUAGAUAGCUAGACAGAUAGAUAAGUAGACAGACAGAUGGACAGACAGAUAGAUAGGUAAAGGCCAGAGGAAGAUUUCUGCCUGUUAGCGCUGUUUGUUCCUUCACCUUUAUUUCUCAGCUAUAUCAGCAAGGCUAACAAAAUAAUACCAUUAGUUUGUACCUUGACUGAUGCCUGUUUUGUGAAAUGCAGUAGGUAGCCACAGCUGGCUACAACUAUUUUGAGAUUUUUUAAAAAUUCAUGAAUAGAAAUGCUACACAAAAAUCUUUCGGUUGUUUGUACCAAUGCAGCAAUAUGAAGGUAAUAUGUUGCCAGGACUGAACUGAUACCAGAAUUUGGCCAAAAGACUGUCAAAAUAACCUGGCUGAUUGCCACUUAUUGCACAAGUGCCAGAUUAUUCUCAAACAAGAAGAUAUAUGCAGUGAAGUUCUGGCUGGGACAUAUGUGAGGCAUGGUUUGGCUUGCACAUGCUUUUGAGCAUUGCAGGCAGGUUACAUUAAGGAAUCUGCAUCCUAAAAGUACAACACAGCUCUUGGUUUUCUAACCUAGUCUCCUGUAACCUUGCCCGGAUUGGAUGACAUCAUAAGUCUAUUGUCAUGGAUUAAUACAAAACUAUGAUUUGGAUCUUCCCCUCAAGCUGCUGUUGUAUUUGCCACUGUUUCUCUACUAUCGCAGCAAACCUCUGCAGAGUCUGGAAUGCCUUGCAUGUGUGCACCAUAUGAAAAGCAUUGUGAAGUUAGUUUCCUAACUCAAAAAAAUCUGGAAUGAGAGAUGAGAAGAAUACCCCAGUGUUCUCACUGCAAGCUUUGGUAAUCCUCAUUUGAGAUCUCCCUCAGAUAUUUUCAGUGGAAAGAUUGCCACAGUGACUCAGUGUUGCAUUUAAUGUCUAACCUGAAGAUGUGCAAAUAACUGUUCUAGCAGAGAAUAGUGCUGUACAGUUUGCCUUAAUAUAUUUAUAUAAAUGCAGUCAGCUGGUGGCAUUUCAGCAGACAGAUGUUGACCAUUAUACACAGAGCACAAGGGGAUUGUGCACUUACAUUCACAUGCAUAUUUCCUACACAAGCACAAAGACUCUGCCCUCUUAGCCACACAGUUUCAGAAACCUCAGUCCUCACUGUUAGCAUAUGCCACAGGAUUAUAAAUGACCAUUUCUUGAAGAACACCCUGAAAGACCAUAGUAGAUAAAUGUCUCAUUUAAUAAUAGACGACUCUUCAGUUUGCUCUGUCAGUGGUACCAUUCUUCUCAGCAAACACAACUUCUUAUUUCUAUCAGUAUCUAUUCAUUGAGUAUCAUUAACCCACAUUUAAAAUAAAUUCAAGAAAAAAUAUAUUUCUCUCUCCUUCAAGUUUUAUUACAAUAACCUGUGAGAAAUGCAUUAAACAGAGUAUCUGAAAUAUCAGAAGUAAUAAUAAUAAUAAAAAAAAAAAAAAAAAAAAAAA